rnacentral:lncRNA from 1 species
AUGGUGGGGGGGGGUCCUUGCGCAGCCUCUCCUCGCACAGCGGUACCCCGAGGAGAUGGGGGGGACGGAAGGAAAGCCGCUACCACCUUUCCCCUAAUCCCCCCCUCCCUCAUGGCCACCCCCUCCCCGUUAUGUAAGUCGGGGCCGCCUCGCUCCGCUCCUCAGUGCCCCCUCCUCACGCACUCACCGCGCUGCGGGCAGCCGCCCCCGUCCCGCCCCGGCGGCCCGGAGAUAGGUGAAGCCGUGAGGCGCUCCCGCCGCGGCACUGCCCGCCCCGUUCUCGCUGGCUCCGCGCGAGGCAGCUCUCCACACUCGAGCUCGUGUUCCUGGGGUCUCUAUAUCUUGCUGCAAGGGAGUAGCAACAAAACUGGUGAACAGAUUGGAAACAAUACAUAUGAGGAGCAGCUGGGGGAAUUGGGGUUGUUUACACUGGAGGAGACUGAGACCUCACUGCUCUCUACACGAACUUGAAAGGAGGUUGCAGCCAACGAGGUGUCAUACAAUCAGUAAGGCUGGCAAAGACCAAAGAUCAUCUAGUCCAGCCAUUGACCCAUCACCACCAUACCCACUAACCAUGGCCCUCAAUGCGACGUCUACACGUUCCUUGGAUGCCUCCAGGGAUGGUGACUCCGCCACCACCUGUUCCAAUGCAUUACCACUCUUUCUGGGAGCUUUGCGAGACAGUUUCCUUGUGUCCUAUCCCUUGUCACCUGAGAUGAGAUAAUGACAAUAUGUAAUGGCCUUAAGUUGCCCCAAGGGAGGUUCAGGUUGGAUAUUAGGAAAAAAAUCUCAGAAAGAGUGGUAAUGCAUUGGAGCAGGCAGUGGUGGAGACACCAGCCCUGGAUGUGUCCAAGAAACGUGUAGAUGUGGCCCUGAGGGACAUGGUUUAGUGGGUAUGGUGGUAAUGAGUUGACAUUUGGACUUCAUCUUAGAAGUCUUUUCCAACUGUAAUGAUUCUAUGAUUGGGACAGGCUGCCCAGGGAAGUGGUGGAGUCACCAUCCCUGGAGGUAUUUAGCAGAUGUGUGGAUGUGGCACUGAGGGACAUGGUUUAGUGGUGGACUUGGUAGAAUCGUAGAAUAUCCCAAGUUGGAAGGGACCCAGAAGGAUCACCUAAUCAUAGAAUAACUGAAGUUGGAAGGGACCCACAUGGAUCAUCAAAUCCAACUUCUGGCUCUGCACAGGACCACGCAAAAAUCAGACCAUAUGUCUGAGAGCACUGUCCAGAUGCUACUUGAACUCAAGCAAGCUCAGUGCUGUGACCACUUCCCUGGGGAGCCUGUUCUAGUGUCUGACCACCCUCUUGGUGAAGAACCUUUUCCUGAUAUCCAGCCUGAACCUCCCUGGUAGUGUUAACUGAUGGUUGGACAUCAUGAUCUCGAAGGUCUUUCCCAAUCCAAAUGAUUUUAUGAUUGCAACUGAGCAUACCAGCCACAGGGAGAUGUGAAAGUACCCUCAGACAAGCUUGCUCUG